rnacentral:lncRNA from 1 species
GGGUGCUUCUGCCCUUCCACGUAGAGCAGCUGUCAGGAACUCGGGACACUUUCCCAGCCCAAUUCACAGAAGGAAGGCCAGAAGCUUAACCCAGUAGUGUCUGAGUACCUGCUUGGCAAAGCCUUCUACGGCCAAAAUGAAAACCCUGAAUCCACUACCAGGUGCUCUAGGUAAGACAAGACAAGCCAAAAGCCAGAAAUACCAUCUCUGGACAUGGCCUCAAAGUAAGAGCUCCGCCAGCCCAACUAAAAGUUAAACCAACUCCUGCUCUGGAAAACUUAGUACCCGAGGUUGAACUGCCCAGUCUCUUUCCUGCUCUGCUGGCCAAAUCCAUGGCAGGUCCAAGUCACAUGCCUCUUUUCGUGAAGGAAAAAUCAUCAGCACCUCCUACAAAGGUCUUCCUAAUCACUUCAUUUUGGGGGUAGGGGUGUGGAUUUUAAAACUUUGAAGACUAUGUCACACUCACCUUGCCCCUCACCUCUGGCCUUGACAACCAUCUUGCUUUACAAGUGAAUUCCGCCAGGUUUCUAAAGAUGGUCACAACACAGGUGCCAGGAAUGCCUUCCUGGGUACAUGGAGUUCCCGCCCACGACCACAGAAGACAUUACACAAAACUGCCCAAAAAGUAUGAAAUGGCAAUCUGACAACAACCUGACUUAAAAGCCAGUAAAGACAUCAGAAAAGAUGUUGGUGUGCAGCAAGAAACCCUUCGCAGCACCUCACAUGGGCAAAACCAAAGAGGUAAGACCCUGAUCUUCCUAAUGGCAGACAGUGAACUACGACCACCCCAGAAAUCACAUAAAAGCAUAGAAGGUAAUUUCUAUUCAACAAAUAAUUACUGGCACUCACAGAGAAAAGCAUGGUGGGACACAAAUUAAUCAGGCAAGGCACUGCCCUCGAGGCACUUUCAGUCUUGGCGGGGAGUAGUGGAGGGCAGAAGAAAAAAAAAAAAAAAAAAAAAGCCCAAACAGGCCACCACGGUAGCUCACGCCUACAAUCCCCAACACUUCGGGAGGAUUGCUUGAGGCCAGGAGCUCAAGACCAGCCUGGGCAAUAUAGUGAGACCUUGUAUCUACAAAAAAAAAAUUUUUUUUUAAUUACCCAGGCAUAGUGGCGCACACCUGUAGUCCCAACUACUCGAGAGGCUGAGGUGGGAGAAUUGCUUGAACCCAGGAGGCAGAGGUUGCAGUGAGCCGAGAUCGCACCACUGCACUCCAACCUGGGCAACAGAGUGACACCUUGUCUCAAAAAACAAGCAAUGACCUUUUCUCCAGUGGGCCUGUUACUGCCACUCUCUGCUACUGACCAACUGAAAGUUUUGUCCAUAGGACAUGGAAGUGCCCUGUUAGGGGUGAAGGAGGAACAGAAAAUGGGGUGCCAGUGUCCUCAGACUAGAAUGUUCUAGUAUCUUGGGGUAGGAAUGAGAGAAUAUAAGCCUGAAUGCCAGCAUUAUGGGAGCCAAGGAGAGUUGGGAUGCCCCAUUCAAUAUAUAGACUUUCAUUCAAGACCCAUCUUCAGCCAGGCACGAUGGCUCACACCUGUAAUCCCAACACUUUGGGAAGUUGGAAGAUUACUUGAGCCCAGGAGUUCGAGACUAGCCUGGGCAAUGUGGUGAGACCUCAUCUCUACAAAAAAAAAUUUAAAAGAAUUAGUCGGGCAUAGUAGUACAUGCCUCUUGUCCCAGCUACUGAGCAGGCUGAGGUGGGAGGAUCACUUGAGCCCAGGAAAUCAAGGCUGCAGUGAGCUAUGAUGGCAUUACUGCACUCCAGCCUGGGGGACAGUGAGACCUGUCUUUAAAAAAAAAAAAAAAAAAAAAAAGUUGGGGGGGACCCAUUUUCACCACUCCCUGGUACCCAAAUCCAGAUCGCCACAUUUAUAACUUCUCUAAAAAGUGAAGCCAGACCUUCUGCUGGCCUGGCCUGGCGGAAGGGCUCCACAGGCCUAGUUGUCUGCUGACUUCAGCCACCCAACUGAAGGCCCAAUCCAUGCCUUCAAAGGUGCCUGUCCCUGCAUGGAUCGGCUGGCUUCUUGUGGGCCACAAACCACGCACACCUUCUCAGCAAGCUACUGAACGAUGGGCUCCCCCAAGACAAGGAAAUCAACCAAGAAAGGAGGGGCACUGGAUCCAGAAACGAGACAAGAGAAGGGGAGAGGGAAUUCCAAGGCUGAAGGGGAAGCAGAGCCAGGGAAAAGGGAUGCGCCCAGGAGAAACGUGGAACCGUUGCGAGUACCUGGUAUGUGGAGCCACAGUGAGAGCCACUUUCCCCCAAUGACAGGCAUUCCACAGCAAUGGUGGAGGCUGCGAGGUGGUCAGGGAACUGGUGAGAGAGACAGAAAAUUAAGCAAAAGAAACUAAGGAAAUUAACUAGGAGAGGAGAAGAAGAAAAUGAAGGAAAAGAAGAAAUAUGGGAAACUAAAAACCUUGCAGCCAUAAACAAGGUUCAUAUUAUAAUAAUGUAUAUUCUGAAGAUCAACUUGACCAAAACUUGGGCUAUCUCUACACUGGGAUGAUGAGGGAAGAAAAAAGCAUAGGAACGAGCUAAAUCCUAUCUCCCACAGCAGAAAAACAAAUCAGAUAAUAAUCCUUAAAAAGAAAGAAAAUAAUACUACUGACAAUGGUGGGGACAGCUGGAAGAAUUGAAAGUAAUGGGGGUGGGGGGCAGUGGGCAAAGGACUGUCCUUUCAAGCCUUGUACACAGUCAAAAGCCAAAUCCUUUCUACAAGUAAUGUUUUGAUAGAAAACACGUUAUUAAGAUACAUACAAGUAGCAAUGCAUGCUCUAUUACCACACAGCUUUAUGUUUCUUAUUAACCAUCCUAAAUUUGCAUUAAUGUCAACUCAUCUGUGUACAAACUUGUAAGGCCUUAUUUUCCUAUAAUAAUUGAUGCCAAUUUUGCUUCAGAGACCCCCAGCUGCCCAGCUGACAUAAUAGUAAUAUCAAAAAGAGAGCAUGCUUAUUGACAGGUUAGAUCCCUCUGGAAGCAAGGCAUUGAGGGCUAGCCAGCAUCAGAUGGCUGGACCUCUCAGGGCCAGUCAUUUAACAAAGAGUUUAACACGCACUGUGAGCCAAGUUCGCUGGGCACAUAAGGCAAAGAGAUCCCUCAGGAAGCAAAGGUGGAAGGAAGGGUAGAGAGUCAAAUUACAGGUAAGAUACUGCAAAGAUUCCGCGACUUAAAUAUAAAGACCUGCAGCCUCUCUCAACUGAUUGAGAGAACUGAGCCCUAAGGCUGCCCUUGCAUGUGAUGAAUUACCUAUAUCCCUGUGCGUGUAGCAGGGCACCAGCUGGGAGAGUUGAGGAACGGUCACCUAGUCCUUUUCUGUGUGCUGUGGUUGAAAUGAGAAAGGCUGGAUGGAGCACUUGGAAGGGGAAGCUGCAGACAGAAUGAGGCGGGAAUGCCUCUUGGAAGAGGUGGCAUCAGAACUGGAACACUUGAGAACUGUGCCAAGAUCUGGGGGGAAGCAGGAGGAGAGCGGGGAGAAAGUUCCAGGCAGGAAGAACAUGUGCCAAAGUCCUAAGGCAGGAACAGGCUUGGCUGACUCAAGAGGUAGCAAGAGGGGAGGUGAAGAUGAGGCAGAGCAUGGCUCUCAGAAAAAGGGCUCUCCAACAUCACUGCGCGGAAGGCCAGUCGGACUCGCAAGAACCCCAAGGGACACGGUCCACCAAACUUUCUCCAGAGGGGAAAGCGAUGUGCCUGAAGAGCCAAGGGGCUUUAGUUCUUAAUUAAUAAGCAGAAGCUGCUUCCAGACUUGAUUCCUGAAACAGGAUGCCUCUGUGGCUGGUAGCAUGACAGGUACACUGUGUAGGUAAACAGGGGCUUGCUUUUACCUUUAAGUUCUCAGCGAAUACACUUGCCAGGAAGCCCUGUGGCCACACCACACAUUAGCCUUACAGAGCCACCACUAAGGGUAAGGGAUAAUAAGCCCCCCUUACUCUCAGGCUCCCUCAAAGGAACCUGUUCCAAUAAGGCAGUCCAGCCCCAGGAGGCGGACACACACAGCCUACGUAAGCCCUUGCCACUUCUUUGAAUCAGACUUUGCAAAAAACAACCUUGCUCUCCAGCCAACAUAAACCAUAGGCAACAGAGGGCCUUAUAAGGCUUGAAGCUUUCUUAAUCAGAAACAGUUAGAUGGGCUGGAGUUAGCAGCUCCAAGUUAGAGGGAAGGAGGAACUGAAAAGGAGAGAAGAAAGGGUGGCCUAGGGAACCAGCAAGCUUGCUGGUCAAACUGCUUUUUCAUCCCUCUUCAGCUUCUGUGUCAUCACAGUAAAGAAUUCUCACCGGG